AUGAUGGAGAGGAAGGGAGGGUGCUGCUUGGCGCCGAGGGCCGCCCAGGCAGGCCAGGGGUGGCACAUGGGAAGGGCCAUGCUGAAGUUUAGGCCCAUCGCGCCAAAGCCGGCGGCGAUGUCGCCUGCGCCGAUGCCGGCCGUGCCGGCUGGGAAGGGGAAGGGGAAACGGAAGGCGGUUGCAGGGCCAGGGGGCACUGGGAGGAGGGGACCGAAGCCCAAGAAGUCGGCCACUGUGGCUGCACCGACGACGCAAAAGUUGGACUAUGUGCAGGACAAGCGUUUGUCCUCGCCGUCGUCCUCCUCGUCGGGGAUGACGUCCGUCGACUCGUCGCCUCCUCCACCCCUGCCUGCAACCCUGCCGCUCAUGCCUGCGCUGCCGGCAGAGGAGGGGUUCGGUGGGGCGGCGCCGGUGGCGAAUCUGGCGUCUGCCCACGUUGUCAGACAGCCGCAGGCCCUGCGGCAAGUGGUGUCCUGGGUGACGGUUGAGGACGUUACAAGCAUCUGGCGCGACGGCGAGGCGCCGUAUGCUGCGGCCUGCGGCGGCGACGAGGCCCCAACGUUCGUGUCCGACCAGUGCGGCCGCGUCACGUGGACAAACGUGGCUUUCAACCGGGCAGUGUCCGGUAGGGAGGACGCCGACGCUACCAUGGCCCCAUCGGCGGCUGCUUCCGAGGUGCGGGUGGUGCUCGCCGCCAAGGAUGGCGCCCCCGUGCCGGCGUGGGGCUCAUGUGCCGGUUUCACCUGUCGGGUGCGCGUCCCGUACGCAUGCCCUCGCCGAGGUUCCCUCGUGGCCCCGUGCGACGUGUGGCGGCUAGACGCUGGCGGCUACCUCUGGCGGCUCGACCUUCAGGCCACCCUCAGUCUCUCCCUCGGCGGCUUCAUUUGA
rnacentral:rRNA from 1 species